rfam:Vagococcus penaei strain CD276, complete genome.
GAUUCCUUUAAGAAUAGUCCAGAGAGGCUAAGAAGGUGAAUGUGUUAAUGAACUUACUGCUGAGUGCAUGAUUGGGUCAUUAAUAAUCUUUAUGAGAACAUUUCCUCCUAUCCUUGACUGGGUAGGAGUUUUUUUAUU